AGCGCCAGAAUUCAAAUAAAGUAACUUUUGUCUAUCUUUCACUUUUUUUUUUUUUGUGGAAUUAUCCUCCAUAUUACAACAUUGUUGCUUCGCUGGACUAAAUGUGCUCCGUGAGAUUUCGCUCAGUGGACCCUUAAGUUACCUUUCUAACUAAACUGGGAUUUACAGCUGUGGAUGUGUUUAUGACUCGUUAUUACGAAGAAUCUGGUACACUGCCACGGAGACCUGCCUCAGCUGCCUUUGCCUUCACCGUAUCCCUUCUUGACCCAGUUUCUGCCUCCCGUGGUUGGUUAAUUUGAUUCCAGGUGUGUCUAGUUUCUUCCCUGUGUGCUCCAUGGCUCCGCCUUGGUCUGGCGUUGACCAUCCUGCGCCUUGGGACUCCACUCCUCUGGCUUCACCUCGUCUCUCCGUCCCUCUGGAUCCGUCAGGCUCCUUUAUCCCCUGGCUCCACCUCACUCCUCUGUCGCUUUGCUCUGGCUCCACCGUGGCCUCCCGGAUCCACAUCUCUGCAUCGGCCGUCGGCUCCAUCAGUUCCCCCUAGGAUCUCCAGAUCCUCCCCAUCACCCUGGCUCUUUGGCUCUUUGUCUCUACCUUGGUAUCAUCCUCCACCUGCUCCGCUGAUGUUGGUCGGCCCCUGGAGUUGGUGGCCAUUCCUCCUAGAUGGCUAUUCCCACCGUCGGCUCCACCAUGGGCUGUCUUUAUGGCUAUGACCUGAGUCCAGCUGGACUCCUCCUGCUCCAAGCACCUCCUGUCUCCUACCUGGCUCCUCGCUCCAUGGUAUCUUUCAACCGGCCCCCUCUCGGGUGUCCGUCCUCCACCGGAACCUCCUCCCAAUCUCUCACCCAUGCCUCCCUCUGUUGUCUCUACGGGGCGAUGUCGCACCUUCCUGGAGGGGGGAAUAAUGUCACACCCCUGGACUCAUUAUACCCCCUUUCACACUGCAAGUUGGUCCCGGAAAAUUCCUGUAAAAUUGCCGGAUUGCUUUCUUAGUGAACACAAACAAUCUGUUCAGUCUGUGUUUGUCAGGUCAAGUACAAGUCAGUACCUGUGUCUUCCUUCAGUGUCCCAUGUUGGAUUUAUCCCUGUGUUGGAUUAAUAAAGACU